UUUAUGGAGAGUUUGAUCCUGGCUCAGGAUGAACGCUGGCGGCGUGCCUAAUACAUGCAAGUCGAGCGAACAGACGGGGAGCUUGCUCCCCCGACGUUAGCGGCGGACGGGUGAGUAACACGUGGGUAACCUACCUAUAAGACUGGAAUAACUCCGGGAAACCGGGGCUAAUGCCGGAUAACAUGUUGAACCGCAUGGUCCUACAGUGAAAGACGGUCUUGCUGUCACUUAUAGAUGGACCCGCCCCGAAUUAGCUAGUUGGUAAGGAAACGGCCUACCAAGACAACGAUACGUA
rnacentral:rRNA from 1 species